rnacentral:lncRNA from 1 species
GGAGCCGGCCCCGGAGCACCCGCACUUGGGGGGGCUGCCCCCCCAUUCCACGCAGCCACAGGGGGCGCUGCCGCACGGGGCGGGGCCACCCCUGCCCCGCCCACAGGGGGCGGAGCUUCGGCCAGCCUCUUUGGGACCCUGCGCCCCCCCCCGCCGCCCUAUGGGGGUUACAGCAACCCCUUUGUGGCCGCCCCCCGGCCCUGCACCAACCCCUUCCAGAGCAACGGUGCUGCUUUCGCCACCCCCCCGGUGCCCAGCGCGUUCCCCCCCCCCUUCCAGGCUGAUGGUAAGAACCCAGUGUGGGGGGGGUGUGAUAUAUCCCCCCCCCCCACUGACCCCCCGUUCUCUGCCCCCCGCAGGUUCACCCUUCGGUGGCUUCAACGGCGCCAAAGCCUCAACCAACCCCUUCGUGACGGUCCCGGCUGCCCCCUUUGGCAUCAAGCACCCGGCCACCAACCCGUUCCUAUAGCUGCUGCUGCGCUGGGGGGGGCACAGGGACACCCCCCCCCCAUCCAGGACCAGGUUCUAUUUUUAUGACAGAUGUAUCGCGAUAUCUAAUAUAUAUUCGAUAUAAACCGC